UACGUAGGGUGCAAGCGUUGUCCGGAAUUAUUGGGCGUAAAGAGCUCGUAGGCGGUUUGUCGCGUCUGCUGUGAAAUCCCGGGGCUCAACCCCGGGCCUGCAGUGGAUACGGGCUGGCUAGAGGCAGGCAGGGGGAGAACGGAAUUCCUGGUGUAGCGGUGAAAUGCGCAGAUAUCAGGAGGAACACCGGUGGCGAAGGCGGUUCUCUGGGCCUGUACUGACGCUGAGGAGCGAAAAGCGUGGGGGAGCAAAACAGG
rnacentral:rRNA from 1 species